CCGCUGGAAACGAUGGACACCUCUGGAAUGCCGUAUUUGGUACCAAGACCCUUCAAGGCUAACGCCAAGCAAGGGCUCUGGAAUCCUGGAAAGUGACUCACGGAUUACCCCCGGCCACCCUCACCCUCCCUGGUGAUUGAGGUUACCUUUGUGGACGAUGCUGGAAAACAUCUGACUGACUGGAACUCUUUUCUGGAAAACGUCUGAGCGACUGGAACUUUUUUCUGGAAAACACCUGGCCAGCUGGAAUUUUUUCUGGAAAACGUCUGACCAACAGGAUCUUUUUUCUGGAAAACACCUGGCCCGCCGGAAAAUUUUUGGAAAACAUAUGACCAACUGGAUCUGUUUUCUGGAAAACAUCUGACCAACUGGAACUUUUUCCUGGAAAAUACCUGACUACCAGAAACUUUUAUUCUGGAAAACAUCUGACCGACAGAAACUUUAUUCUGGAAAACAUCUGACGAACUGGAACUCUUUCCUGGAAAACAGCAGACCAACAGAACCAACUGGAAUCUUUUUUUCUUUUUGGUUUGAACAAAUGAUACAUCUUCCGUUGAAUGUUUCAGCCAUUUUUUCAACCAAGAUUGCAAACUGUCUCACCAAUUCCUACAUCUCCAGGCACUCUAGCCUCAAGACGAACAUUGUUCCAACAACGAGAACUUCCUGGAAACAGGAGGUUCCAGCCUAGCUUCAAUGGAAUCUGGAAAGAAGCCGAGACCUUUGAAGAAAAACUGGAAACAGAAUAAGAAUCCGAUUGAAUAUGAUGUCUACAGAAAUCCUACAGCAAGGCAAUAUAGACCCUCCGUGCCCAUUCCAUAAGGGGCCAUUUCCCCAAAAAAAUCCUCUCAACAAGGUGAAGACAGGACAAAAAUCGCCAUAAUUUAAAUAUACAGAGGUCAAAUUUCCUCAACACCAUCUCCUGGGAAACGACAGAGAGAACUCGACCUUAUGCCACUGAUACAUUGAGGCCUAUAUCCGAAAUAGGGGUCAUUUAAGAAGCCGGAUGAAGGGACCUCAUCUCUUUCAUUCUUUUACAGAUCCAAAAUAAAGCUUUUUUUCUUUUUU